GCUGGGUGUGGUGGUGGGCACCUGUAGUCCCAGUUACUGGGAGGCUGAGGCAGGAGAAUCACUUGAACCCAGGAGGCGGAGGUUGCAGUGAGCCAAGAUCACGCCACUGCACUCCAGCCUGGGCAACAGAGUAAGAUUCUGUCUCUA
ensembl:misc_RNA Metazoa_SRP Metazoan signal recognition particle RNA